UUGAUAGGCAAAAGAGCAAUAUGGAUAAAAGAGUCAAAAAAAGGCUACACCAAGUACACAGGAAGCAUACAUGUGCACUCCAAGAAAAAAACAAGAAAACCCUCCCCUUAUUGGCAAACCUAAUUGAUAAGAUAAAUAUAGUUUAUUAGUACAAUGCAAAUACUAAUUAACAUUGUGCCAAAAAAGAAAUAACAAACAAGCCCAAGGUGUGAGGCCAGUGAACAUGCCUGCCAAAAGUCUAGGUAAUAAAAAAAAGUAGAUUCGCUUAAGCCUACAACUGCCUGGUUAACCCAUAUGUGUUUCCAAAGCAAAAUGGUUUUAAGUUACCUGAAUCAACAACAUAUUUUAAUGAAUCUUGGCGUCCACUUCCAAAACU
rnacentral:lncRNA from 1 species